UAUGUAAUGUACUCUUCCUUCGGGACAAGAGUGACAGGUGGUGCAUGGUUGUCGUCAGCUCGUGUCGUGAGAUGUUGGGUUAAGUCCCGCAACGAGCGCAACCCUUAUCUUUAGUAGCCAGCAUUUUUGAUGGGGCCUCCUAAAAAAAUGGCCCGGUGAACCCGGAAGGAAGGGGGGAAGAACUUCAAUUCUUCUGGCCCUUAAGAAUUGGGCUACACACCUGCUACCAUGGCCUAAACCAAGGGAAACCAAUGGGUGAACCUUAACCAAUCUCCAAAAUUACCUUCUCAUUUCGAUUGGAAUCCUGCACUCCACUACCUUAAACUUGAAUCCCCUAUAAUCCCCAAUCAAAAUGGCCCGGUGGAUUACUUUCCCGGGCUUGGUCCCCACGAA
rnacentral:rRNA from 1 species